rnacentral:rRNA from 1 species
UACAGAGGGGGCAAGCGUUAUUCGGAAUUAUUGGGCGUAAAGGGCGCGUAGGCGGCCUGGCAAGUGGAAGGUGAAAUCCCUCGGCUUAACCGAGGAACUGCCCUCCAAACUGCUUGGCUUGAGUCCGGGAGAGGUGAGUGGAAUUCCCAGUGUAGCGGUGAAAUGCGUAGAUAUUGGGAGGAACACCAGUGGCGAAGGCGGCUCACUGGACCGGAACUGACGCUGAGGCGCGAAAGCGUGGGGAGCAAGCGGG